GCAAGCUGGCCAAGUACCUUGCCCUCAGACUUAGACCAGAUAAUCUAGAUGAUGAGGAUGAGGAUGAUGAAAUGACCCUGGAUUCCAGUAGCAGCACUUUAUGUGCAGAGGAAGAAAAUGAACUUCGGCCAGAUUCACUAGAUGAAAACUAUUU